rnacentral:rRNA from 1 species
GUGCCAGCCGCCGCGGUAAUACGUAGGUGGCAAGCGUUGUCCGGAUUUAUUGGGCGUAAAGCGAGCGCAGGCGGUUUCUUAAGUCUGAUGUGAAAGCCUUCGGCUCAACCGAAGAAGUGCAUCGGAAACUGGGAAGCUUGAGUGCAGAAGAGGACAGUGGAACUCCAUGUGUAGCGGUGAAAUGCGUAGAUAUAUGGAAGAACACCAGUGGCGAAGGCGGCUGUCUGGUCUGUAACUGACGCUGAGGCUCGAAAGCAUGGGUAGCAAACAGGAUUAGAUACCCUGGUAGUCCAUGCCGUAAACGAUGAGUGCUAGGUGUUGGAGGGUUUCCGCCCUUCAGUGCCGCAGCUAACGCAUUAAGCACUCCGCCUGGGGAGUACGACCGCAAGGUUGAAACUCAAAGGAAUUGACGGGGGCCCGCACAAGCGGUGGAGCAUGUGGUUUAUUCGAAGCAACGCGAAGAACCUUACCAGGUCUUGACAUCCUUUGACCACUCUAGAGAUAGAGCUUUCCCUUCGGGGACAAAGUGACAGGUGGUGCAUGGUUGUCGUCAGCUCGUGUCGUGAGAUGUUGGGUUAAGUCCCGCAACGAGCGCAACCCUUAUUACUAGUUGCCAGCAUUAGGUUGGGCACUCUAGUGAGACUGCCGGUGACAAACCGGAGGAAGGUGGGGACGACGUCAAAUCAUCAUGCCCCUUAUGACCUGGGCUACACACGUGCUACAAUGGAUGGUACAACGAGUUGCGAGACCGCGAGGUUUAGCUAAUCUCUUAAAACCAUUCUCAGUUCGGAUUGUAGGCUGCAACUCGCCUACAUGAAGCCGGAAUCGCUAGUAAUCGCGGAUCAGCAUGCCGCGGUGAAUACGUUCCCGGGCCUUGUACACACCGCCCGU